GCCUAGAUAGCUCAGUUGGGAGAGCGUUAGACUGAAGAUCUAAAGGUCCCUGGUUCGAUCCCUGGUUUGGGCA
rnacentral:tRNA from 1 species